GGACAGUAGGAAGAGAGCCACAUACUCUUUGGCACAGUUCAGAAAGCUCAAGAAGGGAAAGACAUUGAUGGUGGAUGUUAGAAACAGGAAUUUGCCAGAGUCCAUCGUCUCUCAUGGUUCAUCUAGAAGCAUCACAUUUGUUAUCACCAGGAAAUUAUAAUGUCAGAGCUAUGGACUUAUUGCCUCUAAUGUCUCCAGAAGGCAUGUUACCAACAUGGCAACCCGUGGAUUCCAGCUUGAUAGUUUUGUGCUGCUUGCAAAUGGCACGACCAGGGCGGCAAUGACAAAAUGAGACUGAGUGUGUUGCGGUGUGCUAUGUGAGCAGGGCUAUAAGUUGAAGAGAAGACAGAUGCUCCUGACCUCAAUUCCACACAUUCCUUCAUCCCACUGUUCUUUAAGAAGUGACAGAGACUUUACUGAGACAACAUAAAGAGGACUGAAUGAGGAAAUAGAAUGGAGAAGUACUUUUGAAAGAAGAAAAUGUAUGAUUGAAUAAUAACUUGGUCCUGGGGCGAAUGGUUUAGUAAGUUGCAUGUAACUUCAUAAUCAGAAUAUCUGAAUUAUCUUGCUGUGUAGAGUAUAACACAAAUUUUCCAUUAUAAAUUAUGUCUACUUUCUUCUGCUUAUUUUUAUUUUUAAAUUCAUAUAUUCCUGUUGUGAUAGAAGUUAAUAGUCAACAAUAUUUGCAUAUGGGACGAUAAUUUUCCUUUAUUUUCAAAAACAAAGGUAAAUAUAUUCAGUUUUCCUUCCAUUAAAGUUAUGGAGGUAAAUAAAUUUCCCUUUGUUUUUUCUAAAAUUCUCCUGGACAAAUACAUACCAUAGUCCAUAAAGGAGUUAUUAUUGAGAUAUAUAAAACAACAAUACAAAUAAGUUAUAGUAAGUAUGAUGACGGUGAGUGAUGGCAAUUUUAUGAAUCUGUAUUCAUUUCUUAUAUUUCUUCAAAAUUGCAUAAUAUAAGUAUGUUUAAUACAUUAUUUUAAAAACUUGGAAUAAAACAGUCCUAGGCACAGUAAAAGCUGAAAGCUCUCCCCUUGUGCUUGUCCUUCUACACCUUCUACACCUUCUACACCUUCCCUUCCUUGGAAGAAAUGCGCUAUGACCUUAGGUUAUAAGUUUUUGAAAAUGUAUCUUCAGACCAUUUUCUUCUAUUUAUUAAUAAUACAUACCUAUAUAUUUAAAA